AAUACUUUUAGAAUCUGUCUCAGUAUGCUUAAAGAGCCUGGUUUGGUGAUUAAGAUUGUUAAUAUGCUUAGCUCCGAAUCAUAGUGAUGCUUGUUGUGAUUAAUUGAAUCUGCUUGCAUACAUGGAUUGAAACGGAAUUGAAAGCUGUUGCAUAUAGUCUUGUGGCUGUCUUCCAUUGAGGCAUUAGAUUCAUGUCUAAAUUGCUGAGUAAAGAAGCUUUUAAAAAUGCCUAAGUAACUUGUCUUGAAUCUGUUAGGAUCUUGAUUGUUCUUAGAGAGCUAGCUUGCAAAGAAUAGAACUUGAUAAUGCCUUGUGUCUAUCUGUUGCAUUGCUUGUGUUAUUGGGAAUCAAACUUGAUGAUUUAUUAAUCAAGUUUUGACAUCAAUACUAUUGAAAAUGGUAAAUGCUUAAUGACAGCUCUAAAUUAACUUGUCUUGUUAAGAUGAUAGAUUAUAUCUAAUCAUUCUUGCUUUCAUGUGUUAGAAACUGUUAAGAUUAAUGCAUACUGCCUUGUUGCUGCUUUGGAUUGUUGCAUUUAGAUUAAAGUCUAAGUUGCAUAUUAAGGAGUGAUUAAAAUUGCCUAAAUACUUUGACUUGAAUCUGAUAAGGUCUUGCUUAGUAUUUAGAGAAUGGUUGCUUGCAUAGAUAAGAACUUGACAUUGUCUUGAUUCUAUCUAAUGUUAUAAAGCUUGAGACAUUGGUGAUCAAACUUGAUGAAGUCAAGGAUUGAUCCCAAUGCAAUUGUGUCUUAUCUUGGCUAGAGUUUGAGUGAUGUUUCAGGUUCACAAAAGGUGCUCCUAGUUCAUCAUCAAAUCCGAGUUGAAAGAGAAAGAAUGAUGCCCAUUGUGUGUCCAAUGGAGAGGUGUUACAAGAAAGGGAGAAGCACAGAUGGUUGUAGAACUCACUCGUGCUCUUCUUCUUAACAUUGCAAGUAUCAGAAGAAGAAGCCAACCGGGUCUAGGCAGUGGCGUGCCUAUUCAAGA
rnacentral:lncRNA from 1 species